GAUGAAGAACGUAGCGAAAUGCGAUACUUGGUGUGAAUUGCAGAAUCCCGUGAACCAUCGAGUCUUUGAACGCAAGUUGCGCCCGAAGCCAUCAGGUUGAGGGCACGUCUGCCUGGGCGUCACAUAUCGUUGCCCAAUGCCUAUUGCAGUGCAAUAGGAAUUUCUAGGGCGAAUGAUGGCUUCCCGUGAGCGUUGUUGCCUCGCGGUUGGUUGAAAAUCGAGUCCUUGGUAGGGUGUGCCAUGGUAGAUGGUGGUCGAGUUAGAACGAUACCGAUCAUGUGCAUGCUCCCCAAAAUAUGGCCUCUAUGACCCACACGCGUCUUUUGACGCUCAUGACGAGACCUCAGGUCAGGCGGGGCUACCCGCUGAAUUUAAGCAUAUCAAUAAGCCGAGGA
rnacentral:misc_RNA from 1 species